rnacentral:rRNA from 1 species
CCUACGGGAGGCAGCAGUGGGGAAUAUUGCACAAUGGGGGAAACCCUGAUGCAGCGACGCCGCGUGAGUGAAGAAGUAUUUCGGUACGUAAAGCUCUAUCAGCAGGGAAGAAAAUGACGGUACCUGACUAAGAAGCCCUGGCUAACUACGUGCCAGCAGCCGCGGUAAUACGUAGGGGGCAAGCGUUAUCCGGAUUUACUGGGUGUAAAGGGAGCGUAGACGGCAGCGCAAGUCUGGAGUGAAAUCCCAUGGCUUAACCAUGGAACUGCUUUGGAAACUGUGCAGCUAGAGUGCAGGAGAGGUAAGCGGAAUUCCUAGUGUAGCGGUGAAAUGCGUAGAUAUUAGGAGGAACACCAGUGGCGAAGGCGGCUUACUGGACUGUAACUGACGUUGAGGCUCGAAAGCGUGGGGAGCAAACAGGAUUAGAUACCCGGGUAGUC